AGUGUAGAGGUGAAAUUCGUAAAUAUUAGGAGGAACACCAGUGGCGAAGGCGUCUAUCUGGUUCAAAUCUGACGCUGAGGCGCGAAGGCGUGGGGAGCAAACAGGAUUAGAUACCCUGGUAGUCCACGCUGUAAACGAUGAAUGUUAAAUAUGGGGAGUUUACUUUCUGUAUUACAGCUAACGCGUUAAACAUUCCGCCUGGGGACUACGGUCGCAAGAUUAAAACUCAAAGGAAUUGACGGGGACCCGCACAAGCGGUGGAGCAUGUGGUUUAAUUCGAUGCAACGCGAAAAACCUUACCACUCCUUGACAUGGAAAUUAUACCUAUUCGAAGGGAUAGGGUCGGUUCGGCCGGGUUUCACACAGGUGC
rnacentral:rRNA from 1 species